GCCCGGCCUCCCGGAACCGGCCCGGAGACGCGCAAGACCCCGCCCAGGCCGAAGGCGAGCUCCGGGGCCAGGCAGACCGUGGAGUAGCUGCCGAGGCGGGCGAGCCCGAGUCCCGGGUUCCAGCCCGGGCUGCCAGCCUCCUGGCGCUUUUCGCCCCCGACCCCCUCUCCGAUCCGGUGGGUCCCCAGGGACACCCUGGCAGGCGAUGCUGGAAAAGCUUCUUGGGUGAUUCUGAGAAUCACGGUCCAGCCCUACUUCACUACACUUGGGGAAACUGAGGCACUGUCCCAAGGCCGCACCGCGAGUUAGCAAACUGCAAAGCCUGCGAGGAGGGCCUGGCAGACGCCGUGAUUUUCCCAGGCCUGAGUCCUGGGAGAUCUAGGUUAGGCCAGAGGGGCCGGGGAUUCAGGAAGUCCUGGGCGCCUGCUGCCCCGACAGCUCCGCGGGGUGGGCCCAGUCGGGGCGCCGCGAAGGUCAGCAGCCUCGCGAAAAUCAACAGGAAGACGCCUUUCUUUCCUCAAUCCGGGAGUGGAGAUUCCGUUUAACUUCUGCAGUCAGCAGGACAGGAAGCGCUCUCUGUCUCAGGCUGGCGCUAGCAGGGACCCGAGGGAGUGUUCAUGGGAGCCAGGUAUUGGAAGCGAGGCAUCCUUCAUUUCCUCCGCAGUGAGGUCUCUGAUCGCCCGAGUCUGGUUUUUCAAAAUCACAUCAUGUGAAGACCCCAAGGGGAGGUACCCGGGAGGAUUCCUUUAUAUGCUCAACCUUGACUCAGACUUGCAAUCGGCAUUUGAUCAAGAAACGUGGUCAGUUCUCCAAACGCAAAAUCAAUCGCUGAUUUUACUUUUUUACUUGGCAUUUCCUUGGGAUAUUCUCGAUCCUGGGAAGGAAAGAUGAUGAACUAUUGUCUUCAAUUCUGUCCCGCUGAGCAUCCUUCCUGGAUUCAGGAUUUCCUGGAGCCAGACCUUAGUAGCUUCAGGUUUAUGGCUUUCUGAAAAUAUAAUUUUGAUGAAUUUUAAUCUAUUGCUCAAGUUAGAAAAUCCCUUAAUUACAGGAGAAAACAUUUUCAAAGAGAAAGGCCAGACCUUUAGAGCAGGCCCUGGAGCCGUGCUGCUUUGAGAAAAUCUCUGGGUAGGCAGGGCCUCUGCUUCAGCUGACUGGCCGGGAGAGAACCAGGCAAGAAUGUGUUUCCCACAGCUGUCGGGCCCACCUCUGCCAGUCAGUUCUUGGCUAGAAAAUAAAUAGUGACUCAUGCCUGUAACCCCAGCACUCUGGGAGGCCGAGGUGGGCGGAUGACCUGAGGUCAGGUGUUCAAGACCAGCAUGGCCAACAUGGUGAAACCCUGUCUCUACUAAAAAUACAAAAAAUUAGCUGGGCUUAGUGGCACGUGCCUGUAAUCCCAGCUACAUAGGAGGCUGAGGCAGGAGAAUCGCUUGAACGCUGGAGGCAGAUGUUGUAGUGAGCCGACAUCACACCAUUGCACUCCAGCCUGGGCUACAGCAGCAAAACUCUAUCUCAAAAAAAAAAAAAAAAAGGUUUGCUUAAAGUCGCUCAACCUCCUGCAGAGGACUGUAAGGAGAGAAAGCAUUGUCUUGGUUACAAUUGUGUUAAAAUUGGGCUUUGGUGGCCACACGGUAUCUGAGAUGGGUAUUUCUCCUAAAGUAUUUCCAGCUAUUAAGUGAGGAAGAAUCAAUAGACAGAAUAUCACUAUUUUGCAUCCCUGAUGAAUGAAUGGAUGUAGGCACGAUUAGCAGUGGCUGCUGACAUCAGAAAAAG
rnacentral:lncRNA from 1 species